rnacentral:tRNA from 1 species
GGGCCUGUAGCUCACCUGGGAGAGCGCUUCCAUGGCAUGGAAGAGGUAGAGGGUUCGAUCCCCUUCAGGUCCACCA